rnacentral:rRNA from 1 species
GACGAACGCUGGCGGCGUGCUUAACACAUGCAAGUCGAACGGAAAGGCCCUGCUUUUGUGGGGUGCUCGAGUGGCGAACGGGUGAGUAACACGUGAGUAACCUGCCCUUGACUUUGGGAUAACUUCAGGAAACUGGGGCUAAUACCGGAUAGGAGCUCCUGCUGCAUGGUGGGGGUUGGAAAGUUUCGGCGGUUGGGGAUGGACUCGCGGCUUAUCAGCUUGUUGGUGGGGUAGUGGCUUACCAAGGCUUUGACGGGUAGCCGGCCUGGGAGGGUGACCGGCGACAGUGGGACUGAGAGACGGCCCAGACGGCUACGGGAGGCAGCAGUGGGGAGUAUGGCACAAUGGGCGGAAGCCUGAUGCAGCAACGCCGCGUGCGGGAUGACGGCCUUCGGGUUGUAAACCGCUUUCGCCUGUGACGAAGCGUGAGUGACGGUAAUGGGUAAAGAAGCACCGGCUAACUACGUG